rnacentral:rRNA from 1 species
GACGAACGCUGGCGGCGUGCUUAACACAUGCAAGUCGAGCGAGGCCCACACCUUCGGGUGUGGUGCCCUAGCGGCGAACGGGUGAGUAACACGUGGGCAACCUGCCCCUAGCACUGGGAUAAGCCCGGGAAACCGGGUCUAAUACCGGAUAUGACGUCGGAGGGCAUCCUCCGGCGUGGAAAGGAUUCUGGCUAGGGAUGGGCCCGCGGCCUAUCAGCUUGUUGGUGGGGUGAUGGCCCACCAAGGCGACGACGGGUAGCCGGCCUGAGAGGGCGACCGGCCACACUGGGACUGAGACACGGCCCAGACUCCUACGGGAGGCAGCAGUGGGGAAUAUUGCACAAUGGGCGAAAGCCUGAUGCAGCGACGCCGCGUGAGGGAUGACGGCCUUCGGGUUGUAAACCUCUUUCAGCUCCGACGAAGCGAAAGUGACGGUAGGGGCAGAAGAAGCACCGGCCAACUACGUGC